GGGGAUUUAGCUCAGCGGUAGAGCGCUUGCCUAGCAAGUGCAAGGCCCUGGGUUCAAUCCCCAGCUCCG
rfam:Rattus norvegicus chromosome 17, whole genome shotgun sequence.